AGCUGGAUUACUGGGCGAAUACUCCUAUGGCAGAUGGUUUUGGCAUUGCUUGAGUUGCAAGCAAAAUGCUUCUCUGCCAAAGGAGAUUUGCCCCGCAAUUCAUCC
rfam:Brassica rapa chromosome A4, whole genome shotgun sequence.